rnacentral:rRNA from 1 species
UACGGAGGGAGCUAGCGUUGUUCGGAAUUACUGGGCGUAAAGCGCGCGUAGGCGGCUUUGUAAGUUAGAGGUGAAAGCCCGGGGCUCAACCCCGGAACUGCCUUUAAGACUGCAUCGCUUGAAUCCGGGAGAGGUGAGUGGAAUUCCUAGUGUAGAGGUGAAAUUCGUAGAUAUUAGGAAGAACACCAGUGGCGAAGGCGGCUCACUGGUCCGGUACUGACGCUGAGGUGCGAAAGCGUGGGGAGCAAACAGG